rnacentral:lncRNA from 1 species
UCGGAGACAACAAAGCUGCGAUUUCGUUUAAUCUUGAUCGACCGCGGAUUCACGACAAAAUCCAACCUUUCGUUCCGAUCGAAAGAAACACACAAAAAUACAUAUAAAACAUGUAUUUUUGGAUUUUCUCGAAAUCCGUGCGUCGAACUCAAAAUCCGUCAGCGUCAUUAGUUCCAGAAUAGCUGAACCGAUCGAAACGAGCUAUUGGACUGCUAUGAACAGAGUCCGGUACGAGCCAGAAGCCAACUUCUCACCGCGGCUUCUCCGGAAAAUCGAGUUACUAUUCACUUUAAGUGAAAACUAAUAAUCGCGUAACUUCUCCGUUUUAGCUCGUUUUCGCCCGAAACUUGACGAGUGCUUUUGUAAUUAAAUUACACACAAAAACAUCGUCAACUGAGAGUUUAGCUACACUGCAAAAAUCUCAGUCCUUACACUUAUGAAAUUUGGUUUCUAAAUAGUUCCAAUAGCGUAAAUCAAGUUUAAUAGAACCGAUCGCCGAAUCGGAUGUCCUAUCAUCGAAAACAACUUACAAGCACGGAAACCUCCGUACUUUCGAAAGCAUAGGAGCCUAGCUCUCUCUCUAUAUAUAUAUACAGAGAGAGAGAGAGAGAGAGUAGGGCUACUAUACUCUUAUGAGUAUAGAGCCCUUCAUACUCAUAAGUUAUUUUCGAUGAUAGAGCUUUCGAAUCGACGAUCCAUUCCGUUAAAUAUGAUCUAGAGUAUUUGAAACUUUUAGAAAAUAAAUUUCGUAAUUUUUUGAAAUCAUAAUAAAGUUCAUCAAGUGUGCAUAAAAUGAACAGUCAAAAUCGAACGACGUCGUAAAAAUGGAUGAUCAGAUCCGUCAAUUUAAGAUCAGAUUUAAAAAUUCAACCGAUUCUGAUUCUUUUACACCGUUAAACUAGCAAGUAUCCUAUACCGGCCGUUAAAAAUUGUCAAUUUUGCGACCUUUUAAUCGUAAGGUAAAUGCAGUUGAAAAAUUAUAAAAUUUGAUUUCUAGAAGUUUUAAAUGCUCUAAAUAACGUUUAAUGGUAUUGAUCGUCGAUUCGGAAGCUCUAUCAUUGAAAACGACUUAUGAGUACAAAGGCGAUCAUACUCAUAAGAGUAUAGUAGCUAGACUGUAUAUAUAUAUAUAUAUAUAUAUAUAUAUAUAUAUA